rnacentral:rRNA from 1 species
UGGGGAAUUUUGGACAAUGGGCGAAAGCCUGAUCCAGCAAUGCCGCGUGUGUGAAGAAGGCCUUCGGGUUGUAAAGCACUUUUGUCCGGAAAGAAAUCCUUGGCUCUAAUACAGUCGGGGGAUGACGGUACCGGAAGAAUAAGCACCGGCUAACUACGUGCCAGCAGCCGCGGUAAUACGUAGGGUGCAAGCGUUAAUCGGAAUUACUGGGCGUAAAGCGUGCGCAGGCGGUUUGCUAAGACCGAUGUGAAAUCCCCGGGCUCAACCUGGGAACUGCAUUGGUGACUGGCAGGCUAGAGUAUGGCAGAGGGGGGUAGAAUUCCACGUGUAGCAGUGAAAUGCGUAGAGAUGUGGAGGAAUACCGAUGGCGAAGGCAGCCCCCUGGGCCAAAUACUGACGCUCAUGCACGAAAAGCGUGGGGAGCAAAACAGGAUUAGAUAACCCUGGUAGUCCACGCCCUAAAACGAUGUCAACUAGUUGUUGGGGAUUCAUUUCCUUAGUAACGUAGCUAACGCGUGAAGUUGACCGCCUGGGGAGUACGGUCGCAAGAUUAAAAACUCAAAUGAAUUGACGGGGUCAUAGCUGUUUCCU